rnacentral:rRNA from 1 species
AUGCAGUCGAGCGAAUGACGAGAAGCUUGCUUCUCUGAUUUAGCGGCGGACGGGUGAGUAACACGUGGGCAACCUGCCCUACAGAUCGGGAUAACUCAGGGAAACCUGGGCUAAUACCGGAUAAUCCUUCGAAUCACAUGUUUUGAAGUUGAAAGGCGCUUCGGCGUCACUGUAGGAUGGGCCCGCGGUGCAUUAGCUAGUUGGUGGGGUAACGGCCUACCAAGGCAACGAUGCAUAGCCGACCUGAGAGGGUGAUCGGCCACAUUGGGACUGAGACACGGCCCAAACUCCUACGGGAGGCAGCAGUAGGGAAUCUUCCACAAUGGACGAAAGUCUGAUGGAGCAACGCCGCGUGAGUGAUGAAGGUUUUCGGAUCGUAAAACUCUGUUGUAAGGGAAGAACAAGUACGUUAGGAAAUGAACGUACCUUGACGGUACCUUAUUAGAAAGCCACGGCUAACUACGUGCCAGCAGCCGCGGUAAUACGUAGGUGGCAAGCGUUGUCCGGAUUUAUUGGGCGUAAAGCGCGCGCAGGUGGUUUCUUAAGUCUGAUGUGAAAGCCCACGGCUCAACCGUGGAGGGUCAUUGGAAACUGGGGAACUUGAGUGCAGAAGAGGAUAGUGGAAUUCCAAGUGUAGCGGUGAAAUGCGUAGAGAUUUGGAGGAACACCAGUGGCG